AUUUUCGUUUAUCCCUACAUAGAAUGAGUGCCCUCCGGUAUUUUAUCACAAUUAUAACAGUUUUAAUGAUUUUAUACGUGGCUUGUGUGGAUGGACGUGUAUGGAUUCUAAAGGAAAGUCCCUUGUGUCCUAUGGUUUUUUGCGGUGACACUGGUGAAACUGAAAUAGAGCAAAACGGUUGUCCAAGAUGCUGCUUAGGAUAAAUCAGAAGAUCUGACUACUGUCGAUGUUACAAUGGAAUAUUGACUUCUCAUCAAAUAAAGAGUUAAAUAUUC